rnacentral:rRNA from 1 species
AACGAACGCUAGCGGCAGGCUUAAUACAUGCAAGUCGUGGGGCAGCAGGUUUGUAGCAAUACAGAUGCUGGCGACCGGCAAACGGGUGCGGAACACGUACACAACCUUCCUUUAAGUGGGGAAUAGCCCAGAGAAAUUUGGAUUAAUACCCCGUAACAUUAUGAUGUGGCAUCACAUUAUAAUUAUAGCUCCGGCGCUUAAUGAUGGGUGUGCGGCUGAUUAGGUAGUUGGCGGGGUAACGGCCCACCAAGCCUGCGAUCAGUAACUGGUGUGAGGGCACGACCAGUCACACGGGCACUGAGACACGGGCCCGACUCCUACGGGAGGCAGCAGUAAGGAAUAUUGGGCAAUGGAGGCAACUCUGACCCAGCCAUGCCGCGUGGAGGAUGAAGGUCCGCUGGAUUGUAAACUUCUUUUAUAUGGGACGAAAAAGGGCUUUUCUAAGUCAACUGACGGUACCAUAUGAAUAAGCACCGGCUAACUCCGUGCCAGACGCCGCGGUAAUAC